AAAAACAAAGAUGAAAAAACGACGAUGAAAGCCAGAUAACACCUCCCAUGACUUUCCCUUCUUCACGAAGCCAUGUCUUCUCCUACCCCACGCCUUUUCUUUCUCUCCCAAAAAAUAGCAUCACACAAGCUAGGGUUGCCGCCGCCGCCGCUGCCGCGCGCAUCCCAGCUCCUCCAGCGCCCGCCACCGGAGAAGGCGCCCUCCUCUCCCUCGGCGGUUGCCACUCUGGCUGCGGUGGCGCAGGCACAUGGACCGGGCCCGGCUCCAGCCGCGGCAACGCAAGGGGAGAAAGCGAACCCACGCCGAACGGGGUGCUGAUGGUCGACCUGCUGGGGGCGCCGGGAACGCGCUGGGGGCGUGGGACCUGCCUCACACAGGCGCUGCUCGCAGCAGCUGCCAUGGCCUCCACCGUCCGGGGCUAUGGAUGUACUCCCUCCGGUCCUUUUUACUCUGCACAUUGGUUUUGCCGAAAGUCAAACUUUGCUAAGUUUGACCAAAUUUAUAUUAAAAAUUAUUAGCAUCUAUAAUAUCUAAUAAAUAUAAUAUGAAAAUAUAUUUCAAGAUGAAUCUAAUGAUAUUGGUGUUGUUAUGUGAAUGUCUAUAAUUUUUUAUAUAAACUUGGUCAAAGUUGGAUGAGAUUGACUUCAGACAAACCUAAUAUGCAAAGUAAAAAGGACCGGAGGGAGUACGAUGUGGACAAAUACAUUGUCUGGCUGGAGGUGGAUUCUGAAGCAGCACUGCUACUUCAAGGAUGAGUCUGUGGCAUUUGCCCACAGUUCAGAUGGAUCUGCCAUAAGGUAUCAAUAAAAUUAGUUGCAACACUCCAUGAAAUUCAUGUUGUUAAGCAUCACAGAAACAGAAACAUCUAUAGUUUUGUGGUGCCUGGGCUUUUACUAUAGGGUACUCCAUGUGGUUCUUUGCCCCCAUCUAUGCUUUAUUGAUCUUUAUAUGCAUUGAGUAAAAUUUCUUUGUUUUUGACUGAUGGUUCAUUGAUAUUAAGUGAAAUAUGGUAUUGCCCACUUACAUAUGUAAUCAAGAAACAUGCUUGUGUUCUCAUGCGUUACCCCAAAACAUUAGUUAGGUGACUGUCUGAGAAUACUUGAUGCCCAAAAUAUAUGGAUAAUGCUAUUCUAUGUGUAUUGUGUCCAUGUGUCAGUUGAAUCAUCUCAUAUUGCUUUGAAGCUGCUACCUAAGUAUCGAGAGAUUGAUUCUCUUUGUUCCAGCUGUUCUUGUUUUUAGCAGACAAAUGUGGGAGAAUGUACCAAUUGAAUAUAUUGGUUCUUGGGUUUAUUAUUAGAGCCCUUUAUCUGCAUAUAUACAUAGGACGCGACAUCAAAUUUAGUUUUGCUUGUCUACACUUUAGUUAUUUUUUUUCUUGGAACUUAGGAACCUAAGGUUUUGGUCGUUUCUUGUUUCCUGAUAGUACAAGCAUGUUACGCAAGGCUUCUUGAUAAAUGUCAAACUUGAAGGCGUAUAUUGGGUAUGCUAGUAAUUAUUAUCUAGGUAUGCUGCUAAUUAUUGUUGGAUGGAUGUGAAAUUUCUCUCCGUUCGUCUCUCCCGGUUGUGCUGCAGGUACUACCGUUUCUUGAUUCUGUCUCAAGAAAACAACCACAGCCUCUUUUGAUUGAUUCCCAAUUUUGUGUAUAUAUAGCUAUAAAUAUUUCUUGUUAUGAUUAUUUGUUUUGCGUUCUUGAUUAUUUGAUUUGUGUUCUUAAUUGGGACGAGCUAGGAGGAACAAACACUAUUUAGCUUCUGGAUCUUCGUUUCGAAUGACUCGAUGUGGCCUUUGGCGAUGGUCCUGCUAGAUAGUUCAUCGAUGGAAGUAACAAGCAGUCCCAAGGCAUAGAUAAGCUCCUUUGUUUGAUAUAUUUUAGCUCCGUCCAGCAGGAUGGGCAACUGGCUUCUCUUCAAUUAUUUAUAUCUAUCUGUUUUAUUGUAGGUUUCACUAAAUUUGAUUUUCAGUUUUGUCUACAUUGAGUUGUUUGUUGUUUGAAUAUUUUAUCAAGUAGAACCUGGCUUCUCAUGGACCUCCCGUCAUUUUCCUAAACAAUAGUUAGUAUACUAUACACAUGAACUACAGUUACGGAGAUCUGAACUAGAAAUUGCCCUAUGGUGUAUUAACUCUUAAAUAUCGUGCACAAUCAUGUACAUUAAAUGUUUGGAUAAGAAGUAUGAUGUUCUUGAUUAACAUAGUUUACUGCAGCAAAUACUUUGCAUGUGCCUCCAAAGUUCUCUUGCUUGCCGCUUCUGUUGCAUCCUUCUGGCAACUUGACAGUAAACUGUUGGAGGUGAUAUAUGGUUGUCCCUUCCAUUGCCUGGUUUGCUACCAAUGCUCAUUAAUUUUUUGCAUUUCUUCUAUGCCUAAAGUCGUCCAGCAGUUUUGAUAUGUAGUUGCUUCUUCUGCCAAUGUUAUUCUGGCAUUAGCGAACUGCUCGCCUAUAAUUUUUACUGUGCAAAUAAAUAAACGUGCAUAAUUUGUAUUUCAUCAUCUACAAUUCUGGGUUAUUUUAUAUUCUUGGUUGAGUUCUACUUUAUUAGCCAAGAAAUUAUCUAUUUGAUUUGCCCGAAUACACAGUAAGGCCUACUCCUUCUCUUUUAUUGGAGCCAUAGUUUGAUUGAACCAUAAUGAGGUUACAAGUAAUUUCUAUUUUGACAUCUAUACAUUUUAUUUGCUUCGCAUUCUUGAUUGAGACGAGCGAGGAGGAACAUUGACUAUUUAGCUAGGCAAUCACAUCUAAGACAAAACGUCCACAGUUGUUGUAUGAGUCAAAGCUAUACAGAAUACUUCCAAGGAGGAAGCAAUAUACGUGUUUUCUUUUCGCUUCCUUGCUCUUGCUUAGUCCAUCAUUCUCUUUUAUCCACAAAGUAAUCAACUGACAUUCCCUUUUGUUUGGCAGCUGGAAUUCAAAAUUUCAUGUGCUUUGGUUAGAUGAUGAUUACAACGUGGCCAGGCCUUGAUGAUUUUUUAGGUUUUGUAACAGGAAGUCGUCUCUAAAAAGUAAAAAUUGUAUCAUGCUUGCUGAUCAAAUGAUCAAUCAUGUUGAGUUCGUGCAUUCCAUUGAUCUAACACGAUGAGAAUAUAGAGAUAUGUUGACACACCAGCACAUUCCGUUGUCAUACAGAACAAAGCUAAGGGGAUGAUACAUAAUCUCCUAGAUAUGUGCUGAUGUACUCCUUACGAGGAAGUUGUUGAACAUUACCACACGUAAUGUGGUGGCUGCUGCGACUCGUGGUGCUUUGAGUGCACAACCUUCGCCUGCUCUCCCCGGCGUCUACAGCGACGACCAUUGCUUCUUCCGUGAUGCCCUCGAAUGGACAUGGGUUGCAUCGAGGACUACUACGAUGGUGAGCAGAGCGAGUAUGACCUGGAGAGCCUCGACGAUGGCACGGAUGAGCAGCUGCUCUGUGCCGGCAAGUCUUGUGACUGCAAUUGAACGACAUGACGGAGAGGUGCUAGAUACAGGGUUAAGGUUGCUUGUUUAUUUGCUGAGUUUGAUACACUUUUGGACAAGUGUGUAAUGGUUGCACCUUGUAACCAGGUAGAUAGCUCACUGAUAGUCCUCUAGGUUUAACAUACUUUUAGCUCUAAUGUACUUGGCUUGCUUUACCGUCAUUCAUUCAAAAAAAUCCUAAAAAAUA